rnacentral:lncRNA from 1 species
GGAUGCAUCAUAAAUGUAUAGAUAUGCUAUUGUAUGAGAUGGGUUCUUAGUAAGCAGCUUUCUCCUACAGAUGUGUCUUCUCCUACUGAUGUGUCUGGCGAUCCAUUAGUAGUGUGAUGUUGUUUGUUUCCUGCUGAGGACCUUAGCAUAAUCUCCCUAAGCCUUUUUGGUCAGGAUCCGUGAGUUAGGUGACCGCACACAGCACAUCAGAGUUGGAUGGAGACUCACUGCUCUGCAGAUUGCACAAGAGUGGAGCUACCCUAACAUCUCAGUAGCUGGGAUUUCAGGAUCUGCGCUGACUGCUGGGACUCCCUCACCUGCACACCUGCCCCGGGAGAUGCCCCUCCCUGGCUGCCAGCCGGAAGCAGGGGCAGCCCCGGAAGCUGAACCGUCCAGCGCCCUGGGAUCCACUCACCAGUCCACUGCCGUGGCCCACGAUGGUUUCCCACAGCGAGUCAUCAAGGAGGACUUUCUUGUCUUGAAUGUCCACGAGCUGGCUGGCGCUGUGGUGCAGGGAGCCCUGGGAACAGGCUCUGCUGAUCUGGCUUUGACUGGGGAUCCUCAGGACAGACACGCUCCGGCCGCUCCGGAGACUCGUGGGUGUCCCUGACCGAGGGAUUCUGGUAUCAGCUAAUCCCUAAAGAGGAAGUCGUUGUGGGUGAUUCACGUGGGGAAGAUGGGCUUGGGCUGGGCAGGGAACUGCAACUCACACAUGGUCUCCGAAGGGGAAUGGCUGACUCCAGCCCUCCUGUGGCUCAGGCCUGAGCCCCGUGGCGGGGUUUCUGGCUCCCUCGCCUGGGGCGGCCAGCGCUUUUGGGGCCUGGGGCGCCCACGCACUGCUGCUCCAGCCCGUGUUCCCCGAGGGGAACCAGCCAGGCACCGCUGCCUGUCCACACCGACCUGCACGAUGAGAACACCUCUUCCCACA